rnacentral:rRNA from 1 species
UACGUAGGGUGCAAGCGUUAAUCGGAAUUACUGGGCGUAAAGCGUGCGCAGGCGGUUGUGCAAGACAGAUGUGAAAUCCCCGGGCUUAACCUGGGAACUGCAUUUGUGACUGCACAGCUGGAGUGCGGCAGAGGGGGAUGGAAUUCCGCGUGUAGCAGUGAAAUGCGUAGAUAUGCGGAGGAACACCGAUGGCGAAGGCAAUCCCCUGGGCCUGCACUGACGCUCAUGCACGAAAGCGUGGGGAGCAAACAGGG